GCCUGAUGAUUUCAUUUAUGUGGUUUUGCUAAUAUCUUAAAUCCCUCAUCCACCACUUUGUUGUGUUGUGCGCAUUAUGUGUUUGCGUUCUUAUUCAUUGGUGGUGGAUUGUAUUUUUUUCAUUUACAUGUCUGAGCUGCUGUUUUCCUUAUUAGUGAUUAUCAUUUCAGUGUGAUAUUACUGUGACUGCUUUGGUGUGCUGUAAAUGUAGGAACUUAAUCAGAUUGUAUUUGGAGUAGCAAACGGAUGGAGUUUUUCAAAAAAUGUUCAUAAACAUUGGAAACGAUCUUGUUUUAUUCUUACAAAUACUUGUAUCUUUAGUACUAGAAUUUGAACUUGAAACUGGAGUGUACCUAUUUCUUGCAUUAUUUUCAUUAGGGCCGAGAAAGUUCAAUGAAAUUUGUGAAGAAAUAGAUAUUUGGUUGGAGUGGAUGUUGCUCCUCUCUUUUUUUGUGCCCCCUCUCUUUUCGGUAAAAAUGUGAAGAACUGUAGACCAUUUAGAGUUGAUUAUUUAAUUUUACUCUUAAAUUUUUUAAUUUGUUUAAUUUGAGUCCGUGAGUAAUAUCUUGAAUUUACUGCUUGAAUUUAAAAUUUAAAUAUGUUGUUUAUUUUAAAAAGUUUAGUUAGUAAGUUUUAUAUAAUUUUAGCAAUGAUAAAUUUAUUAAAUUAAGAAAUUAGUUUAAAUCUUUAAAGUAAAAGUAUUAUAAACUCAUUCAAGUUAAAUAAAUUAAAAAAUUAGAUUAUAAAAUUAAAAUUUUGAAAGAUCAAAUUGUCCACUCGAAAGUAUAGUUCUUCAUAUUUUUGGUAAAAUGUGAAGAACUAUAGUCUAUUUGGAGACGAUUAUUUAAUUUUACUAUCAAAUCUUUUAAUUUAUUUAAUUUGAAUCAGUCAAUAAUAUUUUAAAUUUAAAAUUUAAAUAAAUACGUAGUUUAUUUUAAAAAGUUUAGUCAGUAAAUUUUAUAUAAUUCUUGCAAUGAUAAAUUUAUUAAAUUAAAAAAAUAGUUUAAUUUUUUAAAGUGAAAGUAUAAUUAACUCAUUCAAAUUAAAUAAAUUAAAGAUUAGAUUAUAAAAUU
rnacentral:lncRNA from 1 species